GCAAGUCGAACGAGAAAACUGAUUAGAUUACUAAGAUGUUUUCUAGUGGCGGACGGGUUAGUAACACGUGAGCAACUUGCCUAGAAGCGGGGGAUAGCCUUCCGAAAGGGAGAUUACUACCGCAUGUGGCCCCCUUUUCUUAGGGUGGUUAAAGGUGCCUUCGGGUAUCGCUUCGAGAUGUGCUCGCGGCCGAUCAGCUUGUUGGUGAGGUAAUGGCUCACCAAGGCUACGACGGGUAGCUGGUCUGAGAGGAUGAUC
rnacentral:rRNA from 1 species